GAAAGCCUGUUGACCUAUCAACAUCUCCUAAAUGCAACUCAGGUACUUUAAUUAAGCUAAGACUUC
rnacentral:tRNA from 1 species